rnacentral:lncRNA from 1 species
GAGCCUGGCCAAGCUGCACGGGGCAUCGGCGGGCGCGCCCCACUCGGCCCAGACGCAUCCCCACCACCAUCACCACCCUCACCACCACCACCACCACCACCCCCCGCAGCCGCCGUCGCCGCUUCUGCUGCUGCCCCCGCAGCCCGACGAGCAGGGUUCCGAGCGCCACCACCCGGCCCCGCCGCCGCCGCCGCCCCCGCGGCCCCCUCUGGCCCCGCACCCGCACCACCGAGGCCUUCUGUCUCCCGGGGGAACCAGCUGCAGCUACCCCAGCGAGGACAGCUCCGAGGACGAGGACGACGAGGAAGAAGAGCAGGAGGUGGACGUGGAGGGCCACAAGCCCCCCGAGGGCGAGGAAGAGGAGGAAGGUCGAGACCCUGACGACGACGAGGAAGAGGACGAGGAGACGGAGGUCCUACUCGGCGACCCCUUAGUCGGGGGCGGCCGGUUCCUGCAGGGCCGAGGGCCGUCGGAGAAGGGGAGCAGCCGGGACCGCGCGCCGGCCGUCGCGGGCGCGUUCCCGCUCGGCCUGAACUCCUCCAGGCUGCUGCAGGAAGACGGGAAACUCGGGGACCCCGGCUCGGACCUGCCCCCGCCCCCGCCGCCGCCCCUGGCCCCCCAGAAGGCGAGUGGCGGCGGCAGCAGCAGCCCGGGCAGCCCAGUUCACCAUCCAUCACUGGAGGAGCAGCCCUCCUACAAAGAUAGUCAGAAAACUAAGGAAAAUAACCAAGUAAUUGUAUCUACAAAGGAUGACAACAGCUUUUCAGAUAAGAACAAGGAGCAUAGCUUUUUCAUCACAGACUCUGAUGCUUCUGGAGGAGAUUUUUGGAGAGAAAGAUCAGGUGAACAUACACAAGAAACCAACUCACCUCAUUCACUGAAAAAGGAUGUAGAAAAUAUGGGGAAAGAAGAACUUCAGAAGGUUUUAUUUGAACAAAUAGAUUUACGGAGACGACUGGAACAAGAAUUCCAGGUGUUAAAAGGAAACACGUCUUUCCCAGUAUUCAAUAAUUUUCAGGAUCAGAUGAAAAGGGAGCUAGCCUACCGAGAAGAAAUGGUGCAACAGUUACAAAUUAUCCCCUAUGCAGCAAGCUUGAUCAGGAAAGAAAAGCUGGGCGCCCAUCUCAGCAAAAGCUAAAAGCUGAAGCCAGAUUCAAGGUCAUAUCAAUUUAAAAGAAAAUUGAAAAGACAAUUAUUUCGGACUCUUAAGGAAAAGCAGACAGUGAAAAUUCAAUGGCUAUAUUCAGAACAUACCGAAGUAUUUGAAAAGAAACUUUUUCAGCCCAUGGAAGAAGACACAUGUAAUUAUUAGAAUUGUGGGAAUGCAAAAACUAG